AAAAAUCGAAAAGGGAUUAGGGUUAUUAUUUGUGGCUGUUGGACUUCAAUCGAGAAACAGAAUUUCUUCAUCUCUCUCGUAAACAACGCGGUGCCUCUCUUCAGACUUACCUUCACUCUGAUCGAUUCUUCUUCCGUUGACAAUGGAUGCUCACCGUUUCACUCAAGUCUAUCCCGCAGUCGGUCUUCCGCACCACCUCCAUCGCAUUUUUCUCUAGACGACUCAACUUUCCUUUCAUCACAGAUCAUCACCUUUGUCAUGCUCUACUUUGUUUCUGUCAUCAUCUCUAUUCUGAUUCUGUCACAAUGGUCGGAGACGAGUUCGUUGCAUCGUCGAGGAGGCGAAGACGAUGUAAAAACCGAUGAGGAUUUCAGGCACAACUCCUUCUUCUCCUUCUGUUUCUACGUUUUUCAUAUUUCUUGCUUUUGCGAAGAUUUGAUCUUCUUCUUCAUUCAAUACUUAUCACCGUGA